GCUGUGAAGUGUUGGGUUAAGUCCCGCAACGAGCGCAACCCUAUCAUCUGUUGCCAGCAUUUAAGGUGGGGACGUCAGAUGAGACUGCCGGUGACAAACCGGAGGAAGGUGGGGACGACGUCAAGUCAUCAUGGCCCUUAUGUCCUGGGCUACACACGUGCUACAAUGGCCGGUACAGAGUGAAGCGAAACCGCGAGGUGAAGCAAAACGCAGAAAGCCGGUCUCAGUACGGAUUGGAGUCUGAAACUCGACUUCAUGAAGUUGGAAUCGCUAGUAAUCGCGCAUCAGCAUGGCGCGGUGAAUACGUUCCCGGGCCUU
rnacentral:rRNA from 1 species